UGAUGAUUCUUAUAGACAACACUCUUGUUUUCAUGGAGUUUAGAGAUAAUAAUCAGACAGUAAGCAAACGUAAAUAAAUAAAAAGCACAUUGUGAUAGGUUCUAUACAAGGAAUUAAAGCAAAGUGAUAUAAUGAGAUUGAUGUGUAUGGAGAGGGUUACAUUUUAUUGGGUGUUCAUGAGAGACUUCGUUGGGGUAUGAUAUUUAAGCCCAGCUAUAAGCUGACAAGAAAAACUGCAUGUGAAGUCAGGGAAGAAAAAGUUCAGAAGAUAAAAUAGCUAUGACAAAGGCCUUUGGGCAGAAAUGGAAAGAGUGCCUCAGCUGGAACAGCAUGGCUAAGGAAGCAUUCGAACAUGGAAUAAAUAAGGAGAGGAAGUCCUACAACCUCAAGGAGUUGAAUUCUGUCAUCAACCAGUUGGGUUGGAAGAGAACCCAGAGCUGAUACGAGAGUGCAAUCUGGGCACACACCUUGAUUUCAGCCUGGUAAGGCUCUAAGCAAAGGACCCAGCUAAAGUUUAUCCAGACUCAUGACCAAAUGAAAACCUUGCAGUUUAAACAGAUGCGUGUUUUACAUUGCUAAGGUGGUGAUUUGUUAUAUAGCAAUAGAAAAUUAAUGCAUCCAGUUUCAAGUUUCGUUUAUAAAUCUUUCCUUGUUUACAUUCUUUCUUAAAGGCUAACAACUGUAAUUAUAAUAUCUCUGUUAAAUUAAAAUAAUCUUUGGGAACAUCAAACAUGUAAUAGGUAAUAUCUUUAGGGGUCACUGAUGUGUGUUCAACUUUCCAGUUGUGCUACAAUAAUUGGACCUAUAUGAAAGGACUUUUCAUUUUUUUUAAAUUAAUUUUCAUAGUUUUGUUUUCCCUAUUAUUUAUUAUUAUUGUUGCUAUUGGUGUGCACGCCUGAUUCUUGUAGCCAAUUAUAUAUCGGUAUGCUCUAAUCUGUUAUGAGUCGGGAGACUAGAGGACCAGGCUUUUUGUAUUGGGUCUACAAUGAGAAUACCUAGGCUAUAAACUACGUUAUGACAGUGUAUGAUGAAAUUAAGCUAUCCUUUUUGUUUUCUCAGUACUUCUCAGUAUUUAAAGUCAUCAGAAAAAAAUGACAUUUGUUUAAAUAAAAAGACACAAUUGUAAGAAUACCAGUUGGUUGUUGAUAUUUUAGGUUAUUUCUUUAAAAAUUAUGAUUGCCUGUUCUCUACAUUAAAAGAACAUUGCUGGGCAGAAUAACUGGAUUCAAGGUAAUGUCUUUGUCUUCACAUAGUCUUUACUCUCAAGUGACUCCAGUGAGUCAGCAAAACAUGUGUGGGCUUCAGAAAGAACGAUUCCACCAUAAUUUGCAAAUUAGAACAGUGGGAUAUGCUAUGUACUACUUUCCAAGUCUGCACUUCACAUAUCAUUUUAAUGACCCAUCAAUAGAAAAUACGUGUCAUGAUUUAUCUUUCCAGUCAUGGCAAUUUAGGUAAAAGGUUGGAAAAAUACCUAUACGAAUAGUGGUAUUAGAAAGGAACAGGGACAAAGAUAAGCUAGGGUUACCUUUUGAAAAAAAAUGGGGAGAAUCUUGACAAAAGAUUACUGGGAAGCAUCAAAUUUCAAGUAUUUAAAUCUUUAAAAUGCAUCCUCAUAGUUUCAUAUUGUCUUUUUUUUUCCUUUCUAUGUACUCUCUGGACCAAACAGGGUAUGUCUGUCUGAAUAACUCCAUGACUUACUCAGGAACUCAAACGAGAAAGCAAAUGACAACAAAAAUACUUUCUUUCAGUAAUCAUGGAAGCACAGGGUUUUGGUAAGUUAUCACACAUAAUUUAAAGAAAAUCUGAGUGCAAAACAACCUUAUUUUAAACUAUAAUGUGGUCACUUUCUCCUCAGUUCUUGACUAUGGCUUCCCCCAUAGAUUUUGAUUUUCUUUCACUCAUCAUGUCCUAUUUAUUUGCAAGGUUAAAUUUUAUAAUAGUCUAAAUUUUAUUAACAUUUAAAAAUAUGAUUACCUCUCAGGAUUAUCAUUAUUACAAUAUCAUUCUUAAAUUACACCACACAGAUUAGAAAAAGAAUAAUCUGGCACACAGAGUCAGAUUGAGGUUCAGAUUUUGACCUUAACACUUAUAUAAUUUGUGGCCUCAGUUUUUGUGAUGGUUAAUAUUGAGUGUCAACUUGACUGGAUUGAAGGAUGCAGAAUAGUGCUCCUAGGUGUGUCUGCAAAGAUGUUGCCAAAGGAGAUUAACAUUUGAGUCAGUGGAAUGGGAGAAGCAGACCCACCUGCAAUCUGGGUAGGCACCAUCUAAUCAGCUGCCAAUGCAGCUAGAAUAAAGCAGGCAGAAGAAGGUAGAAAGGGCAGACUUGCUGAGUCUUCCAGCUUUCAUCCUUCUCCCAUGCUGGUUGUUUCCUGCCCUCAAACAUCAGACUCCUAGCUCUUCAGCUUCUGGACCCUUGGACAUAUACCAGUGGUUUGCCAGGGGGGUCUUGGGCCUUCAGCCACAGACUGAAAGCUGCACUGUUGGCUUCCCUACUUUUGAGAUUUUGGGGCUCAGACUGGCUUCCUUGCUCCUCAGCUUGCAGAUAGCCUAUUGUGGGACUUCACCUUGUGAUCCUGUGAGUCAAUACUCCUUAAUAAACUUCCCUUCAUAUACACAUCUAUCCUACUAGUUCUGUCCCCCUAGAGAACCAUGACUAAUACAGUCUGCUUAUAUGUAAAAUAGAAGUAAUGACUAACCAAAUUUUACUGAAUGUCUAAAAGUUACUUAAAAUGUGAAACCAGCCCAGUUGUCCAAUAGAAAUGAUGUUUAUAGAUUUUAGAAUAAACACAGAAAUGGACCCUUUUGGUCUUGAAACUCGAAACUUGUAUUUGUCUCAUCUGACUUCCUUCCUCAGGAAGCUGACUCACAGGCAAGGGACUAAAACCACAUCCAGAGAGUGAGAUGUCAGACUCCUCAUUCAUUAUUACUACUCCCGUACCCCUCCCUAAUUUCUUUCAACACUGUAGUGACAUUUCUUCUCCUGCUAUAUAAAUACCCCAAUUUUAGUUGCUCAGAGAGGUGAAUGUGAGAUUAUUCUUCUGUUCUCCCAUUUGACAUCACCCGAAUAAAAAAGCUUUCUUUCCUGACAAUACUUGUUGUCUCAGUGAUUGGCUUCCUGUGCCAGUAGCAACGGGACCUGGACCAAAUGUGGGGUUUCCAUAACAACUAUAGCUUUUCUCCAACAGUAUACAGGCCAGGUGUGGUGGCUCAUGCCUAAAGCCCAGCACAUUGAGAGGCCAAAACAGGAGGAUCUCUUGAGCCCAAGAGUUCAAGGCUGCAGUGAGCCAUGAUUAUGUCACUGCAGUCUAGCCUGGGAAAGAGUGAGGCCGUGUCUCAAUCAAUCGAUCAAAAUAAAAUGGUACAUAUCAUUUCCCUCUUCAAAUCUAUUACUUCUCCAAAAUUUCUCUUUUAGUAAGGUACAAAACAGUCUACAUAGUUUUCCAAAUAAUAAAUCAGAAGUCAUAAUUAAUUCCUGGACCAAAUUACCCCUGGACUGGGCCAAUCUAAACAUCCAGUCACCCAGGUCUGAUAAUGUUCCACCUGGACACAUCCUAAAAAUCCCCUCCUCUUCCCUUCCUCCUCUGCCACCUCAUAGUAUGGGCCACAACUCUAUUUCAUGCAAACUGCUCUUUACCCCCUUUACUGAUCUGGCUGCCUCUAGCCUUGCUCCUCUCAUAUCCAUUCUCCACUCUGCUGCCAUAGUAAUUCUAAAAAUGCCUCCAUGAUUGUGUGACUUUCCAGUUUAACACCCUUCAAAUAUUUCCCUUUGUUCUUGGAAUAGAAACAGACUCCUUAAAGUGGUUCACAGGGCAGCCUAUGAUCUGGCCCUUCCUCCCCUUCCAGCUUAUGUCUUGCAUUCUUUGUCUCUGUUAGCUCCGUGGACUCCCCAAGCUAUCUCUCCGAUCUGUUCCUUUACCUGGAAGACUCUGGUAUCUUCUUUAUCUGGCUAAAUCUUACGCAUAUUCAGGUUUCUAUUAUCAAUUCUUCCACAGGGUUUUUAUGAUGCCAACUUAGGCCUACAUCACCCUGCAUUCUCAAGAAACACUUAUUAAAUUACUUGUUACUUAUAAAAAUUACUUAUAAAAUUGUUUAUUAAAAGUCACUCUUCCCCAUUAGUAUAUGGGGAUAAAUAUGAUGGCAGCUGAGAGAGAACAGAAGAGGGGAGAAAAUCAGGAUUUUGAGGCCGUGGCGUCUACAGAAAAAGCUGUGCAGUAACCUCCUUCCCCUCCUCCUCUUGCCCCACAGGGAAGAGUAUUGCACCUGUCCUCAUCUCAAAUCCAGUGAGGGAGGUUUCCACUGUGCUAUGUGGAGUAUAUGUGCUAUGUAGGGAGUUUAUUAUAUGACCUAUGUAAUAGGAGAGAAGUGGAAAAAUAUAGCAUAACUCCCACCUAAGAAAUUUGGAGAGUAAGAACAGGUUAAUCAUUUUUGUGGUGGAAACAGCCUGCCUUCUCUCUGUGUCUGAGUAAAGCAUGCAUGAAGGUUUUUGCUGGAACAGAUGUAGGCCACAUAGGAUAAAAAGAAGAGGUCUGGGACCAUUUUAAGUUCUGUUUCAGAAAACAACCUGGAAAGGAGAAGAAUGCUUAAGAACCAAGAUUGAGUGGAAAAAGCUACCAGCAAAACCAGGGCUGGAAGGACUGGACAACCUGGGGAGUAGAAAAGAGUUUCUACUGGAAGAAAACUAGUGAUGGGAAUAUUUGAAAAACUCAGGAUAAAAUGUGGUUUCUUCUAGCAGGUCCCAGGCCAUCUUCACCAAAGAAACUCUUGUGCUUCCAUUUUCUCUUCUUCCCUCUCCAGUGCCAAUCCUAGAGUGCCAAAAGCUAUAGGAAGUAAGCUGCGUGGGGAGAGCAGAAAAGGGACAAAAGCCAUCAGAUGCUUUUUCUGGAAGAUGCUGGCUGCCAAACAGUGGCCUCAACUGUCAGAGAAGGAGAGGAAGUAUUACCUUAGAAUAAGGAUGAAAGUAUUGAUUAAUAUUUUGGAGUCCAAGAUGGCCGAAUAGGAACAGCUUGAGUCUACAGCUCCCAGCGUGAGCAAUGCAGAAGAUGGGUGAUUUCUGCAUUUCCAAAUGAGGUAUCAGGUUCAUCUCACUGGGGCUUGUAGGACAGUGGGGGCAGGACAGUGGGUGCAGCCCACUGAGCGAGAGCCAAAGUAGGGUGAGGUAUCUCCUCACCCGGGAAGCAUAAAGGGUCAGGGAAUUCCCUUUCCUAGCCAAGGGAAGCAGUGACGGAUGGCACCUGGAAAAUCGGGUCACUCCCACCCUAAUACUGUGCUUUUCCAAUGGUCUUAGCAAAUGGCACACCAGGUUAUACUCCGCACCUGGCUCGGAGGGUCCCACGCCCACAGAGCCUCACUCAUUGCUAGCACAGCAGUCUGAGAUCGAUCUGCAAGGCAGCAGUGAGUCUGGGGAAGGGGUGCCCGCCAUUGCUGAGGCUUGAGUAGGUAAACAAAGCGGCCAGGAAGCUCGAACUGGGUGGAGCCCAUGACAGCUGAAUGAGGCCUCCGUGCUUCUGUAGACUCCACCUCUGGGGGCAGGGCAUAGCCAAAAGGCAGACUUAAAUGUCCCUGUCUGACAGCUUUGAAGAGAGUAGUGGUUCUCCCAACACAGAGUCUGAGAUCUGAGAAUGGAUAGACAGCCCCCUCAAGUGGGUACCUGACCCCCGAGUAGCCUAACUGGGAGGCACCCUCCAGUAGGGGCAGACUGACACCUCACACAGCCGGGUACCCCGCUGAGAUGAAGCUUCCAGGGGAACAAUCAGGCAGCAACGUUUGCUGUUCAGCAAUAUUUGCUGUUCUGCAGCCACCACUGCUGAUACCCAGGCGAACAGGAUUUGGAGUGGACCUCCAGCAAACUCCAAAAGACCUGCA
rnacentral:lncRNA from 1 species